rnacentral:rRNA from 1 species
GGGCUCACACAAGCGGAGGAGCAUGUGGUUUAAUUCGAAGCAACGCGAAGAACCUUACCAAGGCUUGACAUCUAGGGAUUAGGUCCCGGAAACGGGUCCGACACUCUUCGGAGCGGAACCUAGACAGGUGUUGCAUGGCUGUCGUCAGCUCGUGUCGUGAGAUGUCGCGUUAAGUCGUUGAACGAGCGAAACCCUUGUCGUUAGUUGCCAGCGGGUCAUGCCGGGGACUCUAACGAGACUGCCGUGGUUAACACGGAGGAAGGUGGGGACGACGUCAAGUCAUCAUGGCCCUUAUGCCUUGGGCUACACACGUGCUACAAUGGUCUGUACAGAGGGUUGCUACACAGCAAUGUGAUGCUAAUCCCCAAAGCAGGCCCCAGUUCGGAUUGUAGGCUGCAACUCGCCUACAUGAAGCCGGAUUCGCUAGUAAUCGCAGGU